GUCAGAAAUAGGGGUACGGAAGGGGUACAUUACUGUGCCCCAAGGUACAAAAAUGACAUUAAUACAGUCUAAGGACAAAUAUUGGACCUCGGGGUAACUAUCUGUACCUUUUUUAGUGUCUGAAAGGUACAUACAUGUUCCUUAAUUGUGAAAAGUACUUAUUUGUACCCAUUCUUUCAAAAGAUAAAGUACAGGUUGAUUAAGCACUUUUUGAUUAGAGUUUUUUUAUUUUUAUUAUUUUUGACAAAAAGCACCCUUAAAAAAAAGCACCCUUAUUGAACUCGGAGUGCGAGUUGAGCCCAUCCUCACAACAUCAAACAAAAAGUAGAAGAAGAAACUCAACGAAUAGCUGGUGGAUUCUAGAACUUUCUGUAAAUGCAGCAGGUGCCAUUUUGUUUUAUCAACGGAGGGAGAUGAAUUACGAACUUGUCCGAGGAACUCUUAACAAAAAUACAAGAGUGGGGCUUAGAUGUCACCGAAGCUGAAGCUCAGCGUUUCAGAGACAAUGAGGUUGAUGGUGACACAGUUGACUGCGGUCUUACUGAGACUAUGGUUGCAUACCUUUUCCAAGGAUCCUUCAAAAAGCAGGUUAAAUUCAACCAAUUUGUGUCAAGGAUGAAGGAAUCUUCAGUGACGCUGACUCUACAGACUGUCUCUCCAGAAGACUGGCAACCAUCUACUUCGUCAACUUCAAUAAGGGACCAUGCGUCCAAGGAGAGGAUUUAUUAUCCAUAGACGCCCACUUAAAGGUCUUACAGUGCCAAUAUCAGAAGAUGCAACCAGAUACCAUGGUGGUUCAUAACCAUAUGCAGCAAACGUUUGCUUGGCGGCAGAAAGAAAUUGCAAAUGGUAUGCCUGUGGAAGAUGUGUUGAAGAAGUACCCCUUCUUAGG